AUGCUUGCUUCGACAGCACCUAUACUAACAUUGGAAUGAUACAGAGAAGAUCAGUGUGGCCUCUCACAAGAAUGACCUGCCAAUUCAUGAAGCAUUCCAUAACUUA
ensembl:snRNA U6 U6 spliceosomal RNA